AGGUAUUUAAAAAAACGUAAACAAACCAUUAAAAGGGUAAUUUAUUGGGCAGGUUUUGGUUCCUGUUAAAUUUUCAAUUUUAAAAAAUAACAGGUUACAGAUUCGUUCCAUCCUAUUUCAGCAACCUGUAGUUACGCUGGAUUUUAUGAUAUAUAUACACAUAUAUAAAUUUACCCAAUUAUUUAUAUCACAUUAAAUGAUUAAUAAUUUUUUAUAGUAAAUUGCCUCAUAAAAAACACCCAAUUUUGCAGAUGUGCAAAACGCAAGGUUAUAGUUAUGAGGAUAAAAUACGACUAGAUUACAGAGUACCGUUUUUAGUGUAGCAACACGUACCUUGUGUCACUUUUUAACUUGGUCGGUUUGACAGCGGCCAUUGCUUGACGCUUGUUGCAUUGUGUUUUAUAGUCGGAUGCCCUUGCGAUAUUUGUGGUGUUUUUGAGCUGUUAUUCGUUGUAAAUUUUGUGGUUUUCUGUUAAGUUUUUGUUGAACUUGUUUGUUUUGUUACGGAGUUGUGUGUUUUGCGUGAACAUGGAUGAUAACAAACCGGGAAGUAGCCGGCCUAGUUCCCUGCUUACAUUUCCUUCUCCGAAGAAAAAGAGGCCUAAAACGGGACAGCUUUCGUCAUCGGAGAAGACCGUACUUGUUAACGUUUAUAAAUACGUGGAAGAAACGUGGCCCAAGGAUAAAUACCCAUAUAAAACCGAAAUCGUUCAGAAAACGGCAGAAAUUGUUGGUGUCUCGACUCCUACUGUAUACUCUGUUUUGAAAGAAUACAAGACCCACGGUCGUGUUCAGUCUCCACCGCCAUCUGCGACGAAACCAAGUUUAGUAAAUGCACUGGAUGAGAUUGAACUGGGUGGCAUUCGAAGAAAAGUACACCAAUUUUAUUUUGCCAAUGAAAUACCAAGUAUAAACAAAAUGCUUGAUGCAGUAAACAGUGAUGAGAGUCUGCCAAACUUCUCGAGAACCUCAUUUUUUAAAGUUUUAAAAAAACUGGGGUUCAAGUACUCUAAAAGAAACCGAAAAAGUAUGUUGAUUGAUAGAAGUGAUAUAGCCUUAUGGCGUAUUAACUAUCUAAACAAAAUAGAAGAAGAACGAAAGGCAGGGAAAAAGAUUUAUUACCUGGAUGAGACCUGGGUUAACGAAGGGCACACGAAAGAAAAAGUUUGGCAAGACACAACAAUCAAGAGUACCAAAGAAGCUCAUCGCCAAGGGCUUUCUACAGGACUCAAAAAUCCAUCCGGCAAAGGAAAACGCCUCAUAUUAGGCCACAUAGGAUCUUCAACCGGCUUCUUGAAGGAGGGCGAGCUGAUCUUUUUAGCGGGCACAGAUGAUGGAGACUACCAUAAAGAAAUGAAUGGAGCAAACUUUGAAAAAUGGUUUGACGUUAUUUUAAAUAACGUUGAGCCAAAUUCAGUAAUUGUGAUGGACAAUGCACCAUACCAUUCACGCAAGCUCGAAAAAACUCCUAUUUUAAAAACAAAAAAAGCUGAAAUCCAGGAAUGGUUACGGUCCAAAAAUAUUGCUUUUGGACCUAAGGAAUAUAAGGAGCAACUCUUGAAGAGAGUGCGAAAAGUAAAAAAAAAUACGAAAAAUAUGUUGUGGAUGAAAAAGCAAAAGAAAGGGGCAUUACUGUCAUAAGGCUCCCGCCCUACCACUGCGAGCUCAACCCUAUUGAGCUCAUUUGGGCACAGGUAAAAGGGGAGAUUGCCGCAAAAAACAAAACGUUCAAAUUGAAAGAGCUAAGAGAUUUACUACCCGAGGCACUCGGAAAUGUCACUGCUGCUAAUUGGAAAAGCUGUGAAGAUCAUACCAUAAAAGAAGAAGAAACAA